CCUACGGGCUGCAGCAGUGGGGGAUAUUGCACAAUGGGCGCAAGCCUGAUGCAGCCAUGCCGCGUGUAUGAAGAAGGCCUUCGGGUUGUAAAGUACUUUCAGUGGGGAGGAAGGCGAUAAGGUUAAUAACCUUGUCGAUUGACGUUACCCGCAGAAGAAGCACCGGCUAACUCCAUGCCAGCAGCCGCGGUAAUACGGAGGGUGCAAGCGUUAAUCGGAAUUACUGGGCGUAAAGCGCACGCAGGCGGUCUGUCAAGUCGGAUGUGAAAUCCCCGGGCUCAACCUGGGAACUGCAUUCGAAACUGGCAGGCUAGAGUCUCGUAGAGGGGGGUAGAAUUCCAGGUGUAGCGGUGAAAUGCGUAGAGAUCUGGAGGAAUACCGGUGGCGAAGGCGGCCCCCUGGACGAAGACUGACGCUCAGGUGCGAAAGCGUGGGGAGCAAACAGGAUUAGAUACCCGUGUAGUC
rnacentral:rRNA from 1 species